rnacentral:rRNA from 1 species
GACGAACGCUGGAGGCGUGCUUAACACAUGCAUGUCGAACGAUGAAAUGGAGCUUGCUCCAUGGAUUAGUGGCGAACGGGUGAGUAACACGUGAAUAACCUGCCCUUAAUUUUGGAAUAACCAAGGGAAACCUGGGCUACUACCGGAUAAGUAAACCUGGGGCAUCAUACGGCUCUGGAAAGUGUUUCGAUUAAGGAUGGAUUGGCGGCCUAUCAGAUUGUUGGUGGGGUAAUGGCGCACCAAGGCGACGACGGGUAGCCGGCCUGAGAGGGUGAACGGCCACACUGGGCCUGAGACACGGCCCAGACGGCUACGGUAGGCAGCAGUGGGGAAUAUUGCGCAAUGGACGAAAGUCUGACGCAGCGACGCCUCGUGAGGGACGAAGGUCUUCUGAUUGUAAACCUCUUUCAGCAGGCACAAAACGAAAGUGACGGUACCUGCAGAAGAAGCGCCGGCUAACUAUGUGCCAGCAGCCGCGGUAA